UACGUAGGGUGCAAGCGUUAAUCGGAAUUACUGGGCGUAAAGCGUGCGCAGGCGGUUAUGUAAGACAGGUGUGAAAUCCCCGGGCUUACCUGGGAACUGCAUUUGUGACUGCAUAGCUAGAGUACGGGUAGAGGGGGAUGGAAUUCCGCGAUGUAGCAGUGAAAUGCGUAGAUAUGCGGAGGAACACCGAUGGCCUGAAGGCAAUCCCCUGGACCUGUACUAGACGCUGCAUGCGACGAAAACGCGUGGGGAGCAAACAGGAUUACAGAAACCCCAGUAG
rnacentral:rRNA from 1 species